UGGGGAAGGGCUACGGGCCCGCCAUGCAGGUCCGGUGGCUGCAAGAAUCCAGUAAGGACGGGUCCGUGGCCAAGCCGGCCAGCAAGCGGCCGCUCUCCUCCCCCGAUAUGAAAUCUGCUCCAAAGAAGCCCAAGGCCGACGGGCAGUGAAGGAGGCGCCGCCCCCACCUUGGCACCGGCCCCCCGCACCCCUCGCUCGCCAAGGAAAGCACAUUUCAUUGGGGCCUGGGGGGUCACUGAACUGUGUUCCCCCCCGACCCUUGGCUGCGGGGGGGGCAGGCACCCCGGAGUCUGGUUUGCCGGGGGGGCGUUGGGAUUUUUUACAUGUUGCAGUUGCUGGAAUGAAGUUCUUGUGCCCCCCUGCUGUCGUGGAGGGGGCUGCAGGUUGGGGGGCGCCCCUCCCCCCAGCUCUCACCGCUGUACAGACCCCCCCGUCUCCCCUGUAGUGUCUGAGUCGUAGAGGAAAGGGGGGGCUGUAGCUGUUGUGAAUAGCAGGUCCCCCCACAGGUGUUGGGGGGGGGGGCCCUAGCUUGACCCUCCCACCCCUGAAUCGGUGCCGCUGUUUCCUGCCUCAUGGCAGGGGGGCUCCUGUCUCCUGCCCCCCCUCGGAAAAAAAACUUUUUGUAUAAACCAUUUUUUUUU